rnacentral:rRNA from 1 species
AUUGAACGCUGGCGGCAUGCCUUACACAUGCAAGUCGAACGGCAGCACGGGUGCUUGCACCUGGUGGCGAGUGGCGAACGGGUGAGUAAUACAUCGGAACAUGUCCUGUAGUGGGGGAUAGCCCGGCGAAAGCCGGAUUAAUACCGCAUACGAUCCACGGAUGAAAGCGGGGGACCUUCGGGCCUCGCGCUAUAGGGUUGGCCGAUGGCUGAUUAGCUAGUUGGUGGGGUAAAGGCCUACCAAGGCGACGAUCAGUAGCUGGUCUGAGAGGACGACCAGCCACACUGAGACUGAGACACGGCCCAGACUCCUACGGGAGGCAGCAGUGGGGAAUUUUGGACAAUGGGCGAAAGCCUGAUCCAGCAAUGCCGCGUGUGUGAAGAAGGCCUUCGGGUUGUAAAGCACUUUUGUCCGGAAAGAAAUCCUUGGCUCUAAUACAGUCGGGGGAUGACGGUACCGGAAGAAUAAGCACCGGCUAACUACGUG